GCCCGUCUAGCUUAGUUGGUAGAGCGCAAGACUCUUAACCUUGUGGUCGUUGGGUUCGAGGCCCCACGGUGGGCU